AUACGGAGGGUGCAAGCGUUAAUCGGAAUUACUGGGCGUAAAGCGUACGUAGGCGGUUCGUUAAGUUAGAUGUGAAAGCCCCGGGCUUAACCUGGGAACUGCAUUUAAAACUGGCGAACUAGAGUUGAGUAGAGGGGAGUGGAAUUUCAGGUGUAGCGGUGAAAUGCGUAGAGAUCUGAAGGAACACCAGUGGCGAAGGCGACUCCCUGGACUCGAACUGACGCUGAGGUGCGAAAGCGUGGGUAGCAAACGGGAUUAGAAACCCCAGUAGUCC
rnacentral:rRNA from 1 species